AUGAUUAGAAUAAGUAUAGUUUUUCUUUAGAGUCUAUCGAGUCUGCAUUUAGUCUGCAUAUGUUUUAGAAGAGUCAUUUCUAUUCAUGUGGGGGAUUGUUGGGCCUAAUUAUUAAGCCUAAUGGCUCAAAUAAUAUAUGGCAAAAUGUGAAAAUGAAAUGGGCCUAUGGGUUCUUACAAAAAGCCUUGUUGGCUUUAAUGAAAUGAAGUUAACAACAUCCCACAUUGGUUGGGAGAGUUGAUUUUGAGGAGUAUAUAUAUGUCUUCAUGACAUGAGAGGAAAAAACAACUCAGAGGAAGAGAGAGCUCCCCACGCGCGCACCGCCGCCGCCGUCCGGCCGGCUCGGCGUGGCUUGGGCUUGGGCUUGGGCUUGGGUGGAGGGCCUUUGGCCCGAUAAGAACUAUUCUUUUUGGACCAAGUUAAGCUCAACGUUUUGCCAGUUAUUUCGGGAAAAAACAACAUACAAUUUUAUUUAAAACGACAAGUAGUUUGUCUAAAAAAUAAAAAAACGUCAUGCAUGUUAUCCUCUCGAAAAUUUAAAACGAGAUAAGAGAGAGUCUUGAGGAAGAAGUUUCGGAACUCAACUUCCCUCGAUCUCCGCGAGAUUCUCGCCCACGUGCAGCAGCUGUUGCGGGAAGUGGGUCUUCUCCGGCUCUUUAAAAUAUCGUCUCUCCUCUUCCUUCAUUUCAGAAUUUUUUUUUCCUGAUCGAAAUCCAACAGCAAAAAAUCCCUCUGCGUAAGUCUAUAUUGCGAGAGUGUUUCGUAGAGUUUAUAGUUCGAUAGGGCGAUCACGAGUGAGGCGUGAUUCGUCUGCCAUGGUUGUAUCCUGGGACUCUAUAUUCGUACAGUCCCGUCUCACUAACGGAGCGAAUAUUUUGAGUUAAGGAAAGAGAUCAUAUCUCGCCUCCAUGUCUAUUUGCGAAUACGGUUUCUUAUCGUCCUCGUAUUCGUUUUUAUAUAUUCGUCUAUUUCCUUAACUUCGCUUUUAUUAUAUCGUUUACAUCGGUCCGGUUUUCCGGCUUUUACAGGUUUAGCUGUCAAGAUGGCUCCGCUCGCGCUUUUUAGACCUAACGUGGAUGAGAUCUCUCUUCUCUCCAUCGACACAAGUACGUUAAAGCCGGUAAGUCUCUCUCUGGCUAUAUGGUGUAAUCUCAAUGAGACUUAAAGAAGUAAAAAGAGUGAAGCAGGAGGAUACAUGGUUGGAUUCGCAGGCUCGAAAUACGCAAUAAGAUCUUAUCCUGUAAAGGUCGCAGAUGGAAGCAACACAAUAACAGAUCUCACACUUGUAAUGGAGUUUCAGAAGGGAGUGCUGCAGAAUCUGUUCUGGAAGAGCUUUGGAUGCGAAUCAUGCAAAGGAGCAUCUUCUUCUGUGUGUCUGAAUCUGAACGGGACGGAUUGCGGUCCCAACAGAAAAGUGCAAAGCUAGUGGAGGCGAAGCUAAUUGCAACAUCCAAAUUCAUGUGGCGUUUUCAGGGACAGACAAGAACCUCGAGUCAUUUAACUCUUGGUACGACGUUAACAAUCCGAGGCAGUACUCGCUUACCGCCCUCUAUGCAAAUGCUGUAAAUUCUUUGAGUGGAAGACAUUUGUAAGAGAGAGAGAGAGGCACAUUGUAAUGCAACAGCUGCUAUGUAACUGAGGUUCCUAAAUAGGUCUUUUGAACUUUCAUGUCUUAACAAUGAUGAAGCAAAUAACUUACACCUCCCAAGUUUGCAGACAAAAACAACAUAUCAAUAAGAUAAAUGCAAAAGAAAGAAACACACAAAAGGUUUAUAUACAGAACCCUUCUGUCAUUGUUGUAAACAAAACCCCGCAAAUUGAUGUUUUAUACACAAGGAAGAAUAUUUAAAAGAACCCCAAAAAAGCACUAAAAAGAAAAAGAGAAUCAAAAUGUAA